rnacentral:rRNA from 1 species
CCUACGGGAGGCAGCAGUGGGGAAUAUUGCACAAUGGGGGAAACCCUGAUGCAGCGACGCCGCGUGAAGGAAGAAGUAUUUCGGUAUGUAAACUUCUAUCAGCAGGGAAGAAAAUGACGGUACCUGACUAAGAAGCCCCGGCUAACUACGUGCCAGCAGCCGCGGUAAUACGUAGGGGGCAAGCGUUAUCCGGAUUUACUGGGUGUAAAGGGAGCGUAGGCGGUUGAGCAAGUCUGAAGUGAAAGCCCGGGGCUCAACCCUGGAACUGCUUUUGAAACUGUUGAACUGGAGUGCAGGAGAGGUAAGUGGAAUUCCUAGUGUAGCGGUGAAAUGCGUAGAUAUGAGGAGGAACACCAGUGGCGAAGGCGGCUUACUGGACUGUAAAUGACGCUGAGGCACGAAAGCGUGGGGAGCAAACAGGAUUAGAUACCCGUGUAGUC